rnacentral:tRNA from 1 species
UACCCUGCCAUAUAGGGUUAAAGUGCCUGUCUAGUAAACAGGAGAUCCUGGGUUUGAAUCCCAGCAGUGUGU